rnacentral:lncRNA from 1 species
GAAGCCUGUUGUAUGUUGGCUGUUGCCUGUUGCUGUUGGACUUGGAGACUUGGAGACUUGACUUUGAAUGCCUGAUUGCCUGUUGCCUGUUGGAGCAUGGAGCUUGGCCAGUUGUUCAUUAGAUGUUGUAAUGUUUUGUGUCUGUGUGUGUCUCAAACUCUUUGUAAUGUUGAAUUGAAACAAUGAGCAUGAGCUGGCUGUACUCUUUUUCCCUUCCUAGGGUUUUCUCACAAGGGUGAGUUUUUACCUAGGAAGGUUUUUAAUGAGGCAGCCAACACUUGAUCACACAGAUCAAGUGUUAAACAGCUCAAAUGAAUUGUGAAUUGUGAAUUGUGAAUUUGUGAUUGUGUCUGUCUGUUAUUCUGUGAUUGUGUCUGUCUGUCUGUUAUUCCAUGUUUUUGGCGGAAAUGAAUUGUGAAUUGUGAAUUGUGAAUUUGUG